rnacentral:rRNA from 1 species
GACGAACGCUGGCGGCGUGCUUAACACAUGCAAGUCGAACGGUAAGGCUCCAGCUUGCUGGGGUACACGAGUGGCGAACGGGUGAGUAACACGUGGGUGACCUGCCCUGCACUUCGGGAUAAGCCUGGGAAACUGGGUCUAAUACCGGAUAGGACCGCACCGUGAGGGUGUGGUGGAAAGUUUUUUCGGUGUGGGAUGGGCCCGCGGCCUAUCAGCUUGUUGGUGGGGUAAUGGCCUACCAAGGCGGCGACGGGUAGCCGGCCUGAGAGGGUGGACGGCCACAUUGGGACUGAGACACGGCCCAGACUCCUACGGGAGGCAGCAGUGGGGAAUAUUGCACAAUGGGCGGAAGCCUGAUGCAGCGACGCCGCGUGGGGGAUGACGGCCUUCGGGUUGUAAACUCCUUUCACCAUCGACGAAGGGUUUCUGACGGUAGAUGGAGAAGAAGCACCGGCUAACUACGUGCCAGCAGCCGCGGUAAUACGUAGGGUGCGAGCGUUGUCCGGAAUUACUGGGCGUAAAGAGUUCGUAGGUGGUUUGUCGCGUCGUCUGUGAAAUUCCGGGGCUUAACUCCGGGCGUGCAGGCGAUACGGGCAUAACUUGAGUACUGUAGGGGAGACUGGAAUUCCUGGUGUAGCGGUGAAAUGCGCAGAUAUCAGGAGGAACACCGGCGGCGAAGGCGGGUCUCUGGGCAGUAACUGACGCUGAGGAGCGAAAGCAUGGGGAGCGAACAGGAUUAGAUACCCUGGUAGUCCAUGCCGUAAACGGUGGGCGCUAGGUGUGGGUUUCCUUCCACGGGAUCCGUGCCGUAGCUAACGCAUUAAGCGCCCCGCCUGGGGAGUACGGCCGCAAGGCUAAAACUCAAAGGAAUUGACGGGGGCCCGCACAAGCGGCGGAGCAUGUGGAUUAAUUCGAUGCAACGCGAAGAACCUUACCUGGGCUUGACAUAUACAGGAUCGCGCCAGAGAUGGUGUUUCCCUUGUGGCUUGUAUACAGGUGGUGCAUGGUUGUCGUCAGCUCGUGUCGUGAGAUGUUGGGUUAAGUCCCGCAACGAGCGCAACCCUUGUCUUAUGUUGCCAGCACGUUGUGGUGGGGACUCGUAAGAAACUGCCGGGGUUAACUCGGAGGAAGGUGGGGAUGACGUCAAAUCAUCAUGCCCCUUAUGUCCAGGGCUUCACACAUGCUACAAUGGUCGGUACAGUGGGUUGCCAGUCCGUGAGGGCGAGCUAAUCCCGCAAAGCCGGUCUCAGUUCGGAUCGGGGUCUGCAACUCGACCCCGUGAAGUCGGAGUCGCUAGUAAUCGCAGAUCAGCAACGCUGCGGUGAAUACGUUCCCGGGCCU